GAUGAACGCUAGCGGCAGGCUUAAUACAUGCAAGUCGUGGGGCAGCAUGAGUGUAGCAAUACAUUUGAUGGCGACCGGCAAACGGGUGCGGAACACGUACACAACCUUCCUAUAAGUGGGGAAUAGCCCAGAGAAAUUUGGAUUAAUACCCCGUAACAUAAUGAUGUGGCAUCACAUUAUUAUUAUAGCUUCGGCGCUUAUUGAUGGGUGUGCGGCUGAUUAGAUAGUUGGCGGGGUAACGGCCCACCAAGUCUACGAUCAGUAGCUGAUGUGAGAGCAUGAUCAGCCACACGGGCACUGAGACACGGGCCCGACUCCUACGGGAGGCAGCAGUAAGGAAUAUUGGUCAAUGGACGCAAGUCUGAACCAGCCAUGCCGCGUGAAGGAUUAAGGUCCUCUGGAUUGUAAACUUCUUUUAUCUGGGACGAAAAAAGGCGAUUCUUCGUCACUUGACGGUACCAGGAGAAUAAGCACCGGCUAACUCUGUGCCAGCAGCCGCCGUAAGAC
rnacentral:rRNA from 1 species